rfam:Natrinema pellirubrum DSM 15624 plasmid pNATPE01, complete sequence.
AGGUACUCCCGAAUCUCGCCUGUGAUGGGGGAGAUAGGGAUAACGGCUGGAUGGCACAGCCAGCGGUUCGCCUGUUCGACAAAUCCACGGGCAGAGUACGCCCACAAGAGCAGGUGGCCUGCGAACCAUAAUCUCCUAACGCUCAGGAAACCGCGCCGUUCACGGCGCGGA